GACGAACGCUGGCGGCGUGCUUAACACAUGCAAGUCGAACGGAAAGGCCCUGCUUUUGUGGGGUGCUCGAGUGGCGAACGGGUGAGUAACACGUGAGUAACCUGCCCUUGACUUUGGGGUAACUUCAGGAAACUGGGGCUAAUACCGGAUAGGAGCUCCUGCUGCAUGGUGGGGGUUGGAAAGUUUCGGCGGUUGGGGAUGGACUCGCGGCUUAUCAGCUUGUUGGUGGGGUAGUGGCUUACCAAGGCUUUGACGGGUAGCCGGCCUGAGAGGGUGACCGGCCACAUUGUGACUGAGAUACGGCCCAGACUCCUACGGGAGGCAGCAGUGGGGAAUAUUGCACAAUGGGCGGAAGCCUGAUGCAGCAACUCCGCGUGCGGGAUGACGGCCUUCGGGUUGUAAACCGCUUUCGCCUGUGACGAAGCGUGAGUGACGGUAAUGGGUAAAGAAGCACCGGCUAACUACGUG
rnacentral:rRNA from 1 species